CCUACGGGGGGCAGCAGUGGGGAAUAUUGGACAAUGGGUGAAAGCCUGAUCCAGCCAUGCCGCGUGUGUGAAGAAGGCCUUCGGGUUGUAAAGCACUUUCAGUGGGGAAGAAAGCCUUGGGGCUAAUACCCUCGAGGAAGGACAUCACCCACAGAAGAAGCACCGGCUAACUCCGUGCCAGCAGCCGCGGUAAUACGGAGGGUGCGAGCGUUAAUCGGAAUUACUGGGCGUAAAGCGCGCGUAGGCGGUCUGAUAAGCCGGUUGUGAAAGCCCCGGGCUCAACCUGGGAACGGCAUCCGGAACUGUCAGGCUAGAGUGCAGGAGAGGAAGGUAGAAGUCCCGGUGUAGCAGUGAAAUGCGUAGAGAUCGGGAGGAAUACCAGUGGCGAAGGCGGCCUUCUGGACUGACACUGACGCUGAGGUGCGAAAGCGUGGGUAGCAAACAGGAUUAGAUACCCUUGUAGUC
rnacentral:rRNA from 1 species